AACGCGAAGAACCUUACCUGGGUUUGACAUGCACAGGACGCUGGUAGAGAUAUCAGUUCCCUUGUGGUCUGUGUGCAGGUGGUGCAUGGCUGUCGUCAGCUCGUGUCGUGAGGUGUUGGGUUAAGUCCCGUAACGAGCGAAACCCCUGUGGUCAGUUGCCAGCGCGUAAAGGCGGGGACUCUGAUCAGACCGCCGGCGUUAAGCCGGAGGAAGGCGGGGACGACGUCAAGUCAUCAUGGCCCUUAUGCCCAGGGCUGCACACGUGCUACAAUGGGAUGGACAGAGCGUUGCCAGGUCGCAAGACCGCGCCAAUCGCAAAAAUCGUCCCUCAGUUCGGAUUGUGGGCUGCAACCCGCCCACAUGAAGCCGGAAUCGCUAGUAAUCGCCGAUCAGCACUGCGGCGGUGAAUGUGUUCCCGGGCCUUGUACACACCGCACGA
rnacentral:rRNA from 1 species